UACGUAGGGACCAAGCGUUGUCCGGAGUCAUUGGGCGUAAAGAGCGUGUAGGCGGCUUGUUAAGUCUUGCGUGAAAUCUCGGGGCUCAACCCCGAGCGGUCGUGAGAAACUGGCAGGCUAGAGUGCGGGAGAGGAGAGUGGAAUUCCUGGUGUAGCGGUGAAAUGCGCAGAUAUCAGGAAGAACACCCGUGGCGAAGGCGGCUCUCUGGAACGCAACUGACGCUGAGACGCGAAAGCGUGGGGAGCAAACAGG
rnacentral:rRNA from 1 species